UUCUGUGGGCGCUGAGGGGCAACCAUCCGCGCAAUCCGACGCCGGACGAACUCUACAGCACGGAUCACCACAACGUCGCAGAUGGGCUCGCGACGUUGCCGAAAGACUAUGCCGGCGUCCCUCACGACGUUCCCCGGCUUGGGCCGCCAUUGCCGGGAGAUCUGGGGCGACCGAUCGUUACGGCCGAAAGUCAAUCAGCUCCGG
rnacentral:misc_RNA from 1 species